CACAAAACCAAAACACAAAAAAGCUACACACGCACAGCACACACACAGAUGGACUUAUUUGUUCAACACAAAGUUUUGUCUAAACUUUAAAGGGAAAAACGUGAUUUCCUCCAUGGCAGACUAAUGUCAGAAUCAGAAUCAAAAGAAAUUGAAAGUCUGAAAAGCAAUGCUGAUAGUUUGCCAGCUGAUCCCCUUAAUCAACAGAAGCUUUCAACAGACUUGAAAAUUGAGACAAACUCUUCUGUCCGGUCAGUUGGCCCAGACCUAGAUUCUGUAAUUGGUAGUCUGAGAACUGAUGAUGAUGAUGGUUAUGACAGUGAUAGAGAUAGUUUACCAGAAGAUGCUCUAAACAAUUCAAGGUCUUCAUCAGCUUUUCAGUAUGCUGUCGAUGAGGGGCCUAUUUCAAGUUUUUUUCCUCACCAAUGGGAAGAAUAAUUCUAAAGGAGGAGAACAAUUUGUGAAUGGAACCCUGAAACAAGACUCAUUUUAAAUGGAAUUGUGCAGUAAUGAAAAAUAUAUACAGUAUACACUGACAGCCACACUGACCUGUGCGGUAUUGCCACCACCAGGGAAUGUUUGCACAGUAAAUAGCAGAAGCCAAGAACUGAUUGACAAUCAAGAAGAUAUUUUAGAUCUCUUAUAACCUAUUCAGACUAGCAUCACGUUGCAAUUGGUUGUAGCAGUUGCGACACCUAACCCAAAUGCAAUUCACAAUCGCAAAUCAGCUGUUAGCCCAUAAUGCCUCGGCAUUUUGUGCUGCUUUUUUCCUUCCCAGUAGUGAACCAGGUACCUUUUUAUACUCCUAUGUGGAGUGCCUUGUCCAAGAACUCAAGUAAAAUGCACAGUGAAUGUUCCCCUGAUGUCCAGGUUGAGAGACCAAAACGCAACCGCUGAUAGUAGUAUGGUGUAGUAGUUAAGGUAGCUUAGUAUCCUGUUGGGCUGCCGACGACUAAGCCAGUUUCCGCCACUUGUUGUAGCUAACGCUGGAUGGGAGGGUAUUGACGGAAAAUUUUGCUGUUUUAGUUUGAUUACUGUAGUAAAUUGAAUUUGGGGCUACUUUUUCAGAUUUGGAAUCUGGCUGUGUUUUUUUGCAGUUUAGCAGUAGUAGACCUAAUGCAAUAGGCAAAGGCAUAAGCUAUUGCUACAUCGGACUUGCCGGUGAUUUCUUUGCAUACAUCCACUUGUAAAAGCAAUCAUUGAUGAUUCCCCAUGUUGUUAUAAAAAAGUAUCUUGCUUGAGGGCCCAAUGGAAAGCAAAGUUCGACAAUGAUUGGGCUUCAUCACCCUCAUUAAAAAUGGGUAUGAUAUAUAUUUAGGGGACCAUUGCACUUUUGCAAUUGUAAAAACUUGUAAUAUAUAAUAUUAUAUAGAUAUGCAUUGAGUGGUUAAAAUAACAACCAUUUUAUGGUUGUAAUACAACAAAGUUUAUUGCAUUAGUCGGUAGUUUGUAUAAGUAAACUAAACAUAUUUGUCAAAGUCAGAAUGACUAUGAAAUUCGGGUUGGGGGAAAUCAUGAUAUAGGUAUGGUAGACAUUUGUGAGUAUCAUCAGAUUAGCUUGCUAACAGGUUUACCUCUAUUUCAGUGUACCUGUAAUUCUAGCAGGCACACCCCAUGACCGAAAAUGUCUGGCAGUAACCUUUUUAUGAUACCAAUGGCUGAAACUUGGCACUCCCUGCGUCGUACGACGGUCGUAGGACCAUCAGCCGCUGAAUCCCCUCCAUGUGAGCGUCAGGUAAUGCAUCACUGCUGAUUGUCGGUAGCAUUCUGAAUGGUAUGUCGUUAAAAACAAUCUGUUGCGCGCAUGUUGUGGCAUUGUGUUUUAUAUGGAAUUGCGUCGGCCGACGACCGUCAUUCGCAAUGAGUGCCUGGCUUAACUGGUUUUAACUGGUUAACUCACAAGUGGAUGUUGGCUCAAUUUUUGGGUCUCUUUCUCAUGGCCCUGCUGACCACACCUACUAGAAUAUUAAAGCUGGCAGGCAUCUGGUUCUUACAUAUUACAAUACAUUGGUAUCAGUGUCGUAUCUAGAAGUCUUGAAAUGGGGGCGCAAAGGUGAAAUGGAGGGGGGGUUUGAUGAUCAGUUGAGGGGCGCUAAUUUGCAGAAUAUGGUGAUUUUAUGUGAUUUUUAACUACUUGACCGUGAUUUUUUGGGGGGGCGACAGGGCCCCCAGCCCUCCCCUAGAUACGCCACUGAUUGGUAUUACAUAUAUGAAUUCUGAAGCGGGGCUGUCCCUCCUGGGAAUCUAGCCUACAUGAAUGGUUUAGAAUGUUUGCAUUUUCUUGAUAAAAGAUUUAAGUUCACUGCAAUUUUUUUUAAUGUGAUGAUUUUUUUUUUUUGUGAGACUAGAAAUACCAAUUUGAUAUUCAUACAAUAAAUAUUAAAGUCUUAUGUAGAGAGGUUUUUCACAUGUCUAGCAAAUUGUAUGUAUAAAUGUAAAUCUAAGCAUACAGUACAUGAAGUGUGUAAAACAUGAUGCCACAUAUAAAAUGGUUUUUUUUACUAAAAACGUUCUUACUGAUUAUUCUAAGGAUAAUUUUUAUAAAUAUUUCAUUGACUUAUUACGUAUGUCUGUAAAACAGAACAUAUAGUUUUUUCUUCCUCGACAUAAUGAAAACUGAAAUUGUAAAGUUAAAAAAUCAUUUAAAAUAUUUAAGAAGUAAAAAAAAAACAAUUGAAAAAAAACAACUCAAGCUACUGUAGGGCUGCAAUGGUACUGGGGAGGGUGAUGUAGUUUGACCUUAUGAUGGUCAGUAGAUUUGCAGUCUUUGUACCUUAUAAAUUUUAUAGUUAGGUUGAGGUCGAAGAUUGUUACAUUUUGGUUUUGAACCCAGCUGUAAGUAGUUUUGAAUGCUUUAGAAAUCGCAAAUUGUGUUAUAUAAAGAGAUUAAUUACUGGUUUAUCAAUAUUUAAAAUCUGUAGUUAAAAAUUUUAUGGUCUUUGCUUGUACCAAUGCUUGUACCAAGUUUGAAGAUGUUUAAAAUGGAGGGUACAGUAGAAUAACCCUGUCUAAAAACAGGGAAAAUGGAAUAGAAGAAAAAGAAGAAAGAAUAAACUAGAUUGCUCUGUUUCCUCACUAACAUAAUAAGAACUGUUAUUAAAAUCAUAAAACAAAACAAAAAAUCAUAAGAACAUUAUGAAGUAAAUAAAAACAUACAAAGUAAGUUGAUGCUUCUGAAACUUAACCAGGGCUGGAAUGGUUCUGGCAAUUGUGAUGUGGAACAUUCUAACCGUAGGGCUAUAAAACCUGACCUUGUGAAAGUCAAUUGAUUUUCAGUCUAUCCAACUAAGUAGAGGCUAGAAAAAAUUAUUUGUAAAAACAUAAAGAAACAGGAGAGAAGAAAUAAAAGAAAACAUAACAAAAACAAUAGCUUUUCUUCUGCCACGGGAAAAGCCUAAAAAAAAAACACACAAACAAAAAAGAACAGGAGCUAUCCACUGUUGUGGGAAAGCCAAUUAUAUGAAUGGAAACAAUAGCUUUUAGGCUGCAAUGGGAGACAUGUAUUGAAAUCAAUUUAAAUAAAUUUAUAAUAAUUAUAAUUAUAUUUUAAUAAUUUUAUUUUAAGUUCAUCUGUGUAUUGUUGAUGAGGAUUGUCAUGAUCAUGUAAAGCUUGUAUCUAUAGAAAGUGUUUAGAACUCCUUAAAUAUAUACUCUUAAAUAUAUACUAUAUUAUACUAUUUAUACUAUACUAUUUAUAUUACUGACUUUAUGCUUAAGGAAGAUUUUAGCUUCCAAUUAUUGGAAAUUAGAACAAAAAAAAUAACAGUCAUAAUAUUAGGUAAUAACAUUUACAAAUAUACUGUAUAUUUAAUUUGUGUUUAAAUGUCAUGAGGAAUUAAUGAGGGCUUCGAAAAAGUCAAUAAAAUAUUGUCAAUGAAUACAUACACAGUAUGAAAUACAUACAAAUUAUGGAAUUCAAUUUAAAUAAAUUAAUUUUAAGUUUAUCAGUGU
rnacentral:lncRNA from 1 species